rnacentral:rRNA from 1 species
AACGUAGGUUCCGAGCGUUAUCCGGAUUUACUGGGCGUAAAGCGCGUUCAGGCGGUUUGGCAAGUCGGGCAUGAAAUCUCUCGGCUCAACCGGGAGAGGUUGUCCGAUACUUCCAGACUUGAGGGCAGUAGAGGGUGGUGGAAUUCCGGGUGUAGUGGUGAAAUGCGUAGAUAUCGGGAGGAACACCAGUGGCGAAGGCGACUUCCUGGCCUGUUCUUGACGCUGAGGCGCGAAAGCUAGGGGAGCAAACGGGG